rnacentral:rRNA from 1 species
GACGAACGCUGGCGGCGUGCUUAACACAUGCAAGUCGAACGGUGAAGCGCCUUCCUUUUUGGUUGGUGUGGAUGAGUGGCGAACGGGUGAGUAACACGUGAGUAACCUGCCCCCUUCUUCUGGAUAACCGCAUGAAAGGGUGGCUAAUACGGGAUAUUCUGGGUCUGUCGCAUGAUGGGUCUGGGAAAGAUAUUGUUUCGGUGGGGGAUGGGCUCGCGGCCUAUCAGCUUGUUGGUGGGGUGAUGGCCUACCAAGGCGGUGACGGGUAGCCGGCCUGAGAGGGUGGACGGUCACACUGGGACUGAGACACGGCCCAGACUCAUACGGGAGGCAGCAGUGGGGAAUAGUGCACAAUGGGCGAAAGCCUGAUGCAGCGACGCCGCGUGAGGGAUGGAGGCCUUCGGGUUGUGAACCUCUUUCGCCAGUGAAGCAGGCCUGCCUCGUUUGUGGGUGGGUUGACGGUAGCUGGAUAAGAAGCGCCGGCUAACUACGUG